CUCAGAUUGUGAUAGAUGCAGGAGC
rnacentral:piRNA from 1 species